GUUGAAAUAUAGAAAUGUUCAGAGAUAAAACAAGCCAUUUGGGAACAACAAUAGGUCUUUCAAAAGUUCCGGUAGCACUGAUUAAAGGUAGCUGGGGGAAGCAGGGUGUCUGUCUCUCGGAUGACACAGGUUGGCCUUGUUGGCUGGGGCUAGGGCAGACGGCUUGAACUGUCUGUGAAGAGGCACCUUGGGAAUCCCUGGGGGUUGGAGAAUGGGGUGGACCACAGAGGUGUGAUGGAGGCGGGUAACAUGUUGGGUGUCCUUUGCUGCCAGCAGACCAGAGAGGAGGCUGUGAGGAAGAUAGGUCUUGGGGGAUGACUGCCUGUACAAUCUCUGAAUGGCACCCCCAGCUUUUCUUGCCAUCCAGGAACCACGUCCAAGGACAGAGAGUCAACCUCGGGCAGGGAUUCCCAAGGCCUCUGGGCUGGCACUGAAUGUGCCCUAAAUGCUGCACAUUCAGUGAGUUACUCAGGCUGGGUGGUGAGUUGUCAUCAGCAGAUCCCUUCCUGCCUCUGAGAGCAAGGGCUGAGCAGCACCCAUCCCUUUGCAUCUCUGAGGAAGGGUGUAGUGGCUCUUUCAAAACAAGAGAAGAAAUGGGCCACCCUCCAGGUGGGAAGGGGUGGUGGGUACUGCACCUGGAGACCAGAGGCCGGGCAGCAGCCUCGGUGGGGAGUAGAAACAGCAGAAGCGGAGAGGGGAGGAGCUGCUCACCUCCGCAGGUUUGGCUCAUGCACGGACAGCCACGUUCACAGGUGGACCUGGAACGGCGUCAGUCUGUGAUGAAUGUGUAUGGUACCUGGAAUCCACCGUAUGGGACAGAGCCUGUAAGAGAGGGAAGUGGGGGCACUUCCCUGGAUCCAGUGUUUAAGACUCCACACUUCCAAUGCAGGAGGUGCAGUUUCAAUCCCUGAUCAGGAAACUAAAAUCCCACAUGCCAAGCAGUGCCUCCAAAAAAAAGAAAGGGAUGAGGGAUGAGUAGACGUUGGAGCUGUUGAUGCCUGGCAGGUGUCUCACUAGCAACAGGAAACACUAGUAUUUAGAAAAGCGCUUUCUCUCCUUCCUGCCUUGCUUCACAAGGGUCUGAUCUGGGAUGUGGUUUGAAUCUCUCUCCACUUUUUCUGGUCAUUUCCUCGUAUUCUUCAGGCCUUUCUCCUGAACAUCUCUUGCUGGGCCCAUCCUGUCUUGAUGUCUGCUUCUCAGAAAGUGAAGAGCAUGAUGAUUGAACAUACCUGCAAAGGUCUUAACAGCUUUGGAAGCAGCAGGAAGCCCACCCUGGGCACCUUUAGUUUAUUAAACAUCCUGACACCCUAGUUUUUUCUCUCUACUCCAAAGACAAAGCUUUCGCAAUCUCAUGGGAUCAGGAC
ensembl:lncRNA